rnacentral:rRNA from 1 species
UACAGAGGGUGCGAGCGUUAAUCGGAAUUACUGGGCGUAAAGCGUGCGUAGACGGCUAUCUAAGUCGGGUGUGAAAGCCCCGGGCUCAACCUGGGAAUUGCAUUCGAGACUGAAUAGCUAGGGUGCGGUAGAGGGAAGCGGAAUUUCCGGUGUAGCGGUGAAAUGCGUAGGUAUCGGAAGGAACAUCAGUGGCGAAAGCGGCUUCCUGGACCAGCACCGACGUUCAGGCACGAAAGCGUGGGGAGCAAACAGG